GGAUAUGUCAAUGGCAAUCUACAAAAACUCGAAUUUCACCGGAGGUUGUUUGGAAAUCCGAUUGUUUUAUGUACGUAUCACGCCAUGCGCGGUUGAAACCGUACCGGACCACCUCAUACUCCGCCACCUCCGCCGUGAGAUGGGGGUAACGUUAGAGAUCAACAGUUCGCGUAUUCCGGCUAAUGAUACAGGCAUCAUAACCCUCCGACGUGAUCGGGUUGAUAAGGAAUCGUCGGAGGUAACGUUUGUGAGCACGGACAGCGUUAGGGUUUCAGGGCCGGUGGAAUUUGAGGUACAUGAGAAUGAAAAUGAGUUAAUACUUUGUGGGUCGUUGGAGAGAGUAGAGACAACGUGGGCUAAUGGUAAUGUUUUAGAGAAUGAUUCGAGGAGUGGAUGGAGCAUGGAUUGUUACACAGCAGCAUCAUUUGGGAAUGGUGGAUCAGCUUUUUUUCAGCCUAAAUUUGGGGUUUCUUUACCAUCAAUCGAGGUAUACAUAGCGGGUUGCUGUUCAGGUGUCCCUGUGAUUCUAUCAAAGACAAUUCAGGUCAGCCCGAGAAGGAAGUUACCUAGGCAGGGUAUGUUGGAUGCAAUUCCAGAGGAUGAGGAGGUUGCGAAGGAGCAGGGGAGCUCGAAUGGAUUCGGACGACAAAUAAAACCAUUGACCACAGAGGAUAUGGACGAUUAUGAGGUGGAGCAGAAGGCUGGAUAUGGUUUCUAUUCAGACGACAUGUACCCUGGUGAAGAUGGUCAGCUCACCUGGUUCAACGCAGGAGUGAGGGUUGGUGUUGGGAUAGGCCUCGGCAUGUGCGUUGGUGUUGGAAUUGGGGUGGGACUACUUAUGCGUUCAUAUCAGGCAACCACUAGGAAUCUGCGGAGGAGGUUUUUCUAGGCUUCUAACUUUCAGUCAUAGUGAAAUGGACUUCUUGACUGGAUUCUAACUACUGGAAAAAGGACUUUAUGGUCAUUAAAGUAGGUCUCAUCUUAGUGGCAGCAGGCAAAGGGAGACCCCUAGUGCUGCAGCUGAAGAGUGGUUACGUAUUAGGUGGUGUGAGGCUGUAACGCAAUUCAGUAUCCUUGUACAGAAGCUGCAGACGACGUUCAUCCAAGGAUCAUCUGUGUUGAGAUUAUACAAAAGCCCCCAGGCUGAAAAUCGGUGUUAGUGUGUUCAUAUGCUGUAUUUAAACUGAAUAUCUCGUAUACAUGUCCUUUUUUUCUUCUUUUUUUCUUUCGGGUUGGUUUAAACUCAUCAGCUUUGCUGUUGGUGUGUGCUGAAGUUUGUUAUUAAGGUUAGCUUUAGAGAGUUGACAAUGCGGCCGACAAUUUUGGUAGUUGCAAUAGGUGCUUCGGCGUAACAAAUUUAGUUUGUAAAAGUACU
rnacentral:misc_RNA from 1 species